rnacentral:rRNA from 1 species
AUGGCGCAGCGGCAGCAGCAGGAAACGAAGGCGAUCCCCGUGCGGUCCCUGGACGGCCGCACCACGACCGUGCGGCUGGCUGCCGCCUGCUCCGUCGACGACCUCAAGGCCGCCCUCCGCGCCUCCAACUUCCCUCCCCCGGCCGGCGCCCCCACGUUCCACCUCUUCCUCAAGGGCGCCAAGCUCCUCCCCCAGGCCAAGGUCGGCAACCUCCCCAUCUACGCCGGCGACUUCGUCUCCCUCAUCCCCUUCACCGCCAAGCCCACCACGCCCGCUCCGUUCGGCCGCCACGCUUUCUCUUCCUCGCCGUGGGCGGCGGCCGGCACAAGGAGGAAGCUUCCGGGUUCAUGGAGUGGCGGCGGCGACGACGACGUGUACGCGCCGAAUAAGGUGGCGAGACCGUCCUCUUCCUCGUGCAGCAACCAUUGCGGCGGCACGGAGCCGCUGGACCCGGCGCAGAUGGUGGAGCACCUCCGGCGAGGGCUCGGGAAGCACGGCCAGAUCGCGCACGUCGAGCGGAUGCCCGGCAGCGAGGCCACGUUCGCCGACGACGACCUACUUCACCGCUUUACAGACGCAAUGAGGAGCUGCCUCCGGAGCACCGGCGUGACGAGGCUGUACGCGCACCAGGCGCAGGCCGUGCGCGCCGCCGUCGCCGGCAAGCACGUCGUGGUGUCCACCUCCACGUCCAGCGGCAAGUCGCUCUGCUACAACGUCCCCGUGCUGGAGUCCGUAGUCUCCUCCCCGGCGGCGUGCGCGCUCUACGUGUUCCCGACCAAGGCCCUGGCGCAGGACCAGCUCAAGGCGCUGCUGCAGAUGAAGGCCGCGCUCCUCCUCGCCGGCGCUGGUGACUUUGGCGUUGAGAUAUACGACGGCGACACGCCGGUGCAGGACCGCGCGAGGAUCAGGCAGCAAGCGAGGGUGCUCAUCACCAACCCGGACAUGCUGCACGCCUCCAUCCUCCCCUGCCACGGCCAGUUCCGGCGCAUACUCUCCGGCCUCGCCCACGUCGUCGUCGACGAGGCGCACACGUACCGCGGCGCGUUCGGCUGCCAAGCCGCGCUCGUGCUGCGACGCCUCCGUCGUCUCUGCGCCGACGUCUACGGCCGCCGCCUCAUCUUCGUGUUCUGCACCGCCACGCUGGCCAACCCGCGCGAGCACGUCAUGGAGCUCGCCGGGGUGGACGAGAUGGAGCUGGUGGACCAGGACGGCAGCCCGCGCGGCGUCAAGCACUUCGUCCUCUGGAACUCCUCGUCGGCCUCAAAGUCGCCGGUGACGGAGGUGUCCCGGCUGGUGGCCGAGAUGGUGCAGCACGGGCUGCGGUGCAUCGCCUUCUGCAAGACGAGGAAGCUGUGCGAGCAGGUGCUGGCGGCGGCGCGCGAGGUGCUCGAAGAGGCCGUGCCGGCGGCGCCGGAGCUGGCGAGCUCCGUGUGCGUGUACCGGGGCGGGUAUGUGGCAAGCGACCGGCGGAAGAUCGAGGCGGACCUGUUCAGCGGGCGGCUCCGCGGCGUGGCGGCCACGAACGCGCUGGAGCUGGGCAUCGACGUCGGCCACGUCGACGCCACGCUCCACCUCGGCUUCCCCGGCAGCAUUGCCAGCCUUUGGCAGCAAGCCGGCAGGUCGGGCCGGCGAUCCAAGGACUCCAUCGCCGUCUACGUCGCCUUCGACGGCGCCGUGGACCAGUACUUCAUGAACUACCCCGACAAGCUCUUCGGCAAGCCGAUCGAGCGCUGUCACGUCGACGCGCAGAACCAGAAGGUCCUCCGGCAGCACCUCGCCUGCGCCGCCGUCGAGAACCAGCUCCGAUCCGACCGCGACGAGCCCUACUUUGGCUCCACCAUGAACGACGCCAUCACGUUCUUGAAAGAUAAAGGAAUCCUCACCAUCAAUCCAACCGGCGGUAACACGUGGAAGUACGCCGGCCCGGUCAGGCGGCCGUCGCAGUCGGUGAGCAUCCGCGCGAUCGAGCACGGAAAAUUCACGGUGACGGAGACGGCGAGCAAGCGAGUGCUGGAGGAGAUCGAGCAGAGCAAGGCCUUCUUCCAGGUGCACGAGGGCGCGGUGUACAUGCACCAGGGCGUGAGCUACCUGGUCGACCGGCUCGACCUCUCGUCCAGGACGGCCUACUGCGGCAUCAGCAUGUCGGAGCUUUGCUACCACACCAAGACCGAAGACUACACCGACAUCGACGUUGCCGCCCCCGCCGACCCUAGCGGCGUCCGCGCCGACGAGUGCACGGUGACCACGCGGUGGGUCGGCUACCGCCGGAUAUUCAAAACGACCGACCAGGUGUCCGACGUCAUCCCUCUCCACCUCCCCUCCUACUCCUUCGACACCCAGGCCGUCUGGGCGACGAUCCCCCAGACGGUCUGGGCGUCGAUCGAGCAGAGCAAGCUGUGGUUCCGGGGCGGGCUACACGGUGCCGCGCACGCCAUCCUCAGCAUACUGCCGCUGCACAUGAUGUGCGGCUCCGGCGAUCUCGGCACGGAGUGCGUGGAUCCCCAGGAGACGCGCAAGCGCGAUGACGACCGCGUGGUCGUCCCCGACAGGAUCUUGCUGUAUGACAAGCACCCCGGCGGCAUCGGGCUGGCGUCGCAGGCGAGGACGCUCUUCGGGGACCUCCUCGUGGCGGCGCUAGAGCUCGUGUCGGCGUGCGGCUGCCACAACUCCGACGGGUGCCCGAACUGCGUCCAGUCGUUCGCGUGCCGUGACACUAACAAGAAUCUGGACAAGGAGGCUGCCGUGGCGCUGCUCAAGGGUCUCAUUCAGUGGCAUUCUGAACUGAAGCCUAGUUAA